AUUGAACGCUGGCGGAAUGCUUUACACAUGCAAGUCGAACGGCAGCACGGGAGCUUGCUCCUGGUGGCGAGUGGCGAACGGGUGAGUAACAUAUCGGAACGUAUCCAAUAAUGGGGGAUAACUAAUCGAAAGGUUGGCUAAUACCGCAUACGCCUUGAGGGGGAAAGCUGGGGAUCUUCGGACCUGGCGUUAAUGGAGCGGCCGAUAUCUGAUUAGCUAGUUGGUGAGGUAAAGGCUCACCAAGGCAUCGAUCAGUAGCUGGUCUGAGAGGACGACCGGCCACACUGGAACUGAGACACGGUCCAGACUCCUACGGGAGGCAGCAGCGGGGAAUGUUGGACAAUGAGCGCAAGCCUGAUCCAGCCAUUCCGCGUGAGUGAAGAAGGCCUUCGGGUUGUAAAGCUCUUUCGCAAGGGAAGAAAACUUAUCCUCUAACAUAGGGUGAGGUUGACGGUACCUUGAUAAGAAGCACCGGCUAACUACGUGCCAGCCGCCGCAGUAACAC
rnacentral:rRNA from 1 species